AAUCAACGCUGGCGGCGUGCCUCAGACAUGCAAGUCGAACGCGAAAGUCCCCUUCGGGGGAUGAGUAGAGUGGCGCUCGGGUGAGUAACACGUAGGUAAUCUACCUUUGGGUGGGGAAUAACAGCCGGAAACGGCUGCUAAUACCGCAUAAUGCAGCGGCUCGACAUCGAGACAGUUGUUAAAGCGGGGGGAUUCCGAAAGGAACCUCGCGCCUAAAGAGGAGCCUGCGGCAGAUAGCUAGUUGGUAAGGUAAUGGCUUACCAAGGCUUCGAUCUGUAGCCGGCCUGAGAGGGCGGUCGGCCACACUGACACUUAAAUACGGGUCAGACUCCUACGGGAGGCAGCAGUCGGGAAUUUUGGGCAAUGGGCGAAAGCCUGACCCAGCAACGCCGCGUGAAGGAUGAAAUCCCUCGGGAUGUAAACUUCGUAAGGACAGGAAGAAUAA
rnacentral:rRNA from 1 species